rnacentral:snRNA from 1 species
GGAUGUGAGGGUGAUCUGGCUGCGACAUCUGUCACCCCACUGAUCACCAGGCUUGAUUUGGCUGAUCUGGUUGGCUAGGCAGGUUCCCCUUCCUCCCUCACUGCACCUUGUGCACCUCUCCCAAAGCUGAGGAAUUCAGGUGCUGUUUUGCUUAUCUAAGAGAGGGGAGGAAAGAGGAGGAAAAGCUAAGGGAUGA